AUUGAACGCUGGCGGCAGGCCUAACACAUGCAAGUCGAGCGGAUGAAGGGAGCUUGCUUCUGGAUUCAGCGGCGGACUGGUGAGUAAUGCAUAGGAAUCUGCCUGGUAGUUGGUGAUAACGUCCGGAAACGGGCGCUAAUACCGCAUUCGUCCUGAGGGAGAAAGUGUGGGAUCUUCGGACCUUACGCUAUCAGAUGAUCCUAGGUCGGAUUAGCUAGUUGGUGGGGUAAAGGCCUACAAAGGCGACGAUCCGUAACUGGUCUGAGAGGAUGAUCAGCCACAGUGGAAAGGAGACAAGGACCAGACGAAGACGGGAGGCAGCAGUGGGGAAUAUUGGACAAUGGGCUCAAUUCUGAUCAAACCAUACCGAGUGAGUGAAGAAGGUAUUCUGAUUGUAAAGCCCUUUUGUUGGGAAAGAAAAGCAGCAGGCGAAUACCCCGCUGUUAUGACGGGACACAAAAAAUAAGCACGGGCUAACUUCGUG
rnacentral:rRNA from 1 species